rnacentral:rRNA from 1 species
AGAGUUUGAUCCUGGCUCAGGACGAACGCUGGCGGCGUGCUUAACACAUGCAAGUCGAACGGAAAGGCCCUGCUUGCAGGGUACUCGAGUGGCGAACGGGUGAGUAACACGUGGGUGAUCUGCCCUGCACUUCGGGAUAAGCCUGGGAAACUGGGUCUAAUACCGGAUAGGAGCCAUUUUUAGUGUGAUGGUUGGAAAGUUUUUUCGGUGUAGGAUGAGCUCGCGGCCUAUCAGCUUGUUGGUGGGGUAAUGGCCUACCAAGGCGGCGACGGGUAGCCGGCCUGAGAGGGUGGACGGCCACAUUGGGACUGAGAUACGGCCCAGACUCCUACGGGAGGCAGCAGUGGGGAAUAUUGCACAAUGGGCGCAAGCCUGAUGCAGCGACGCCGCGUGGGGGAUGACGGCCUUCGGGUUGUAAACUCCUUUCGCUAGGGACGAAGCUUUUGUGACGGUACCUAGAUAAGAAGCACCGGCUAACUACGUG